rnacentral:rRNA from 1 species
UACGUAGGGGGCAAGCGUUAUCCGGAUUUACUGGGUGUAAAGGGAGCGUAGGCGGGUUGUUAAGUCAGUUGUGAAAGUUUGCGGCUCAACCGUAAAAUUGCAGUUGAUACUGGCAUCCUUGAGUACAGUAGAGGUAGGCGGAAUUCGUGGUGUAGCGGUGAAAUGCUUAGAUAUCACGAAGAACUCCGAUUGCGAAGGCAGCAUACCGGCGCUCAACUGACGCUGAGGCACGAAAGCGUGGGGAUCGAACAGG